rnacentral:rRNA from 1 species
CCUACGGGAGGCAGCAGUGGGGAAUAUUGGACAAUGGGCGAAAGCCUGAUCCAGCCAUGCCGCGUGUGUGAAGAAGGCCUUCGGGUUGUAAAGCACUUUAAGCGAGGAGGAAGGUUCGUUACUUAAUACGUAACGGAAUUGACGUUACUCGCAGAAUAAGCACCGGCUAACUCUGUGCCAGCAGCCGCGGUAAUACAGAGGGUGCAAGCGUUAAUCGGAAUUACUGGGCGUAAAGCGCGCGUAGGCGGUUGCGUAAGUUGGAGGUGAAAUCCCCGGGCUCAACCUGGGCAUUGCCUUCAAAACUGCGCAGCUAGAGUAUUGGAGAGGAAGGUAGAAUUCCAGGUGUAGCGGUGAAAUGCGUAGAGAUCUGGAGGAAUACCGAUGGCGAAGGCAGCCUUCUGGCCAAAUACUGACGCUGAGGUGCGAAAGCAUGGGGAGCAAACAGGAUUAGAUACCCUGGUAGUCCAUGCCGUAAACGAUGUCAACUAGGUGUUGGGGAACUUGAUUCCUUAGUGCCGCAGCUAA